CUACGGGAGGCUGCAGUGAGGAAUAUUGCACAAUGGGGGGAACCCUGAUGCAGCAACGCCGCGUGGAGGAUGACGCAUUUCGGUGUGUAAACUCCUUUUAUAUGUCAAGAAAAUGACGGUAGCAUAUGAAUAAGCGCCGGCUAACUCCGUGCCAGCAGCCGCGGUAGUACGGAGGGCGCAAGCGUUACUCGGACUCACUGGGCGUAAAGGACGCGUAGGCGGGUUGGAAAGUCAGGUGUGAAAGCCUACAGCUUAACUGUAGAACUGCACUUGAAACUCUCAACCUAGAGUAUGGGAGGGGCAGAUGGAAUUAGUGGUGUAGGGGUAAAAUCCGUAGAUAUCACUAGGAAUACCUAAAGCGAAGGCGAUCUGCUGGAACAUUACUGACGCUAAGGCGUGAAAGCGUGGGGAGCAAACAGGAUUAGAUACCCUGGUAGUC
rnacentral:rRNA from 1 species